AGGCUCAGGACGAACGCUGGCGGCGUGCUUAACACAUGCAAGUCGAACGGAAAGGCCCAGCUUGCUGGGUACUCGAGUGGCGAACGGGUGAGUAACACGUGGGUGAUCUGCCCUGAACUUUGGGAUAAGCCUGGGAAACUGGGUCUAAUACCGGAUAUGACCUUGGAGUGCAUGCUCUGGGGUGGAAAGCUUUUGCGGUUCAGGAUGGGCCCGCGGCCUAUCAGCUUGUUGGUGGGGUAAUGGCCUACCAAGGCGACGACGGGUAGCCGACCUGAGAGGGUGAUCGGCCACACUGGGACUGAGACACGGCCCAGACUCCUACGGGAGGCAGCAGUGGGGAAUAUUGCACAAUGGGCGCAAGCCUGAUGCAGCGACGCCGCGUGAGGGAUGACGGCCUUCGGGUUGUAAACCUCUUUCACCAGGGACGAAGCGCGAGUGACGGUACCUGGAGAAGAAGCACCGGCCAACUACGUGCCAGCAGCCGCGGUAAUACGUAGGGUGCGAGCGUUGUCCGGAAUUACUGGGCGUAAAGAGCUCGUAGGCGGUUUGUCGCGUCGUCUGUGAAAUUCUGCAACUCAAUUGUAGGCGUGCAGGCGAUACGGGCAGACUUGAGUACUACAGGGGAGACUGGAAUUCCUGGUGUAGCGGUGAAAUGCGCAGAUAUCAGGAGGAACACCGGUGGCGAAGGCGGGUCUCUGGGUAGUAACGAC
rnacentral:rRNA from 1 species